rnacentral:rRNA from 1 species
GUUAUCGUUUAUUCGAUAGUACCUUACUACUUGGAUAACCGUGGUAAUUCUAGAGCUAAUACAUGCUGAAAACCCCAACUUCGGGAGGGGUGUAUUUAUUAGAUAAAAAACCAACGCCCUUCGGGGCUUCUUGGUGAUUCAUGAUAACUUCACGGAUCGCAUGGCCUUGCGCCGGCGACGGUUCAUUCAAAUUUCUGCCCUAUCAACUUUCGAUGGUAAGGUAUUGGCUUACCAUGGUUUCAACGGGUAACGGGGAAUUAGGGUUCGAUUCCGGAGGGGGAGCCUGAGAAACGGCUACCACAUCCAAGGAAGGCAGCAGGCGCGCAAAUUACCCAAUCCCGACACGGGGAGGUAGUGACAAUAAAUACUGAUACAGGGCUCUUUUGGGUCUUGUAAUUGGAAUGAGUACAAUUUAAACCUCUUAACGAGGAACAAUUGGAGGGCAAGUCUGGUGCCAGCAGCCGCGGUAAUUCCAGCUCCAAUAGCGUAUAUUAAAGUUGUUGCAGUUAAAAAGCUCGUAGUUGAAACUUGG